CUAAUUUUAGUGGUCCGUGUUACACACUUUACAUAAUAGCAAAGAUGACUAGCUCGACUGACACUGAGUUCUCUUCCGCUCUGGCUUAUGCCCUUUCUUGUGUGAAGAGAAGUCAUUUAGUUCUGAGGGAUAAACAGCUUGACACUCUACGGAUGCUGUACGAAGGGCAUGAUGUUUUCCUGUGGGUUCCUACUGGAUAUGGAAAGUCUAUCUGCUACCAAACUUUGCCUUUUUUAUUCGACAAGAAGCUGGAUAGAAUUAGUUCUCCUCCUAGUGAGCGUAGUAUUGUCCCCUAGUGUCUCUAAUGGUAGAUCAAGUGACUAGUCUACAUAAUCGUGGUGUUCCUGCUGGUAUACUCAGUGGAAACAAAGGGGUCGAUAAGAAGUCCAAGUGAGUGCUUCACCUACCCCCAGAAUACUCAUAAGGCAGUGCCAGUCCUCUAUACAAGGCUCUAACUGCUCCAAUCGUCCACUGCGAGUGUCCGCAUCUCGCAUAUGUUUUUUGCUACAUCGCUGUCUUUCACAAGUCAUCUGAUCGCCACCUGACAUAACAAACAUCAAGGACUACAACCUCAGAUUUUUUGGCCAUCUCUGUGCUGUGGGGGUGCUUAAUGUGACUGACAACACACCGUUUGUACCGCUGGAGGGGCUUGAUGUACUCGCACAGUAUUCGACCGACUAGAAUGACCAAAUUUUCUUGGAUGCCCUCAAUGUCGGCCUUUGUAGGAAGGAAGCAUCGAUAGGACGUUGGUACAGCUUGCUGAUUUUCGUGACCAACUUCAACACGGCACAGUAACUGAUAGUGACACUAAGAUGAUUCAGCCUGGAGUAUACCUUUGAAGAGUACGAGAGACAGAAACGACUGAAUACCACACAUUCUUGUGUUACGCUCUUUCAAGAGAAUUGCUGUGGCCAUACACAUCCCAGGGUAGUGACUCUCUCCGCGUUUAUGCAAGUUCCUAUGAUCUGAACGUCCUACGAUCGUCUGGAUAAGCCUAAAUAGAAUCGGAGACUUUCGCUGUAGUUCAGACACAGCCUGUUUCCAUGAUAACGCUUCCACAUUGUCAAUUGGAACCCGGUGAAAUAGAGAGACAAACUCCCCAGAGUUACGACAUAGAGUGGAACAUUCGUUGUCAAGAAUUUUCACCACACCCUCUACCAAUUGGUCCUUCAGUGAAGGGCAAGAAAAUGCUGCCUUGGCAAUAGACUGAAUGUUGCCACUAUUCAGUGCCUGGCGUAAUUUCUAGAGACUUUCAUCUACUUCCGCAGUCACUGUACUGGGUGGUUUAACAUACCGUCAACAGAAGAAAACUGCUCGAGAUUGGUCAACUCUAACAGCGGUGGCUGACGAGGACAGUCUGUGUGCGCUAUGAAAAAGAGAUGAUUCCUGUCAUCUACAUAUAUGAUUUGUUGCAAUCAACCUACGUUCCUCCUUGGUUGAGAAAGCAAGCCUUCUUCCAGGUGCUCCUACUGUCAGACGUUUUGCUAGAGGUCUAGCAUGGACUGUGUGAGGUGAUGCUUCAAGCCCACUGGUGUCUUUAGUUCUCUUCCUACCUGAUACCAUAGGACUACAGAUGGAAGCCUUAUUUCGACCCUGCUCAAAACCACACUUAGCCAUACUUCUAAAGGCUUUAAGUUUAGACUCCAGAGACUGGAAUUUGUUUGUGCAAGCUCUACAAAUGUAUGAAGAUAGCCCAUCACACUCACUAAUUGGCAGCUCUAGCAGUUUGCCAAGUCUGUCUGGAAGGCAUCUUUGAACAGACUCUUUGCUGAACAGAGCUGAGCAGCGAGUAGAAGUAACAAUGUUGCAGCACAAUCUGCAUAUUCUGGUGGCUGCCAUUGUGGGCUUGAACAUUCUACCACCAACCACGCAGUCUUACGUAUUUUUCCUUUGUGUACUUUGUCCGAUUUUAUCACUUGCGUAAUACUGAUAAAUAUACGAAUUAUUUCGCGCAUGCGCAUACAAGGUAUACCAGGCCGCUGUAAAGCGGACUUGAGUCGA